rnacentral:rRNA from 1 species
GUAAGGGUAAGAUCCCAGGAAGACUACCUGGUUGAUAGGUCGGAGGUGUAAGUGCAGCAAUGUAUGUAGCUUACCGAUACUAAUAGAUCGAGGACUUGACCAA